AGCACCCAAAAUGGCACAUUUAACUGGAACAAUAUAUUAAUACAAACAGGGGAUUACAGCUGAGCAGGGUGCUUAACUGUCUACAGUUAAUUUAUAGCUAACUGAAGUGCUCGUUUACCCUGGUUAGAGUAUACAUCCACACAGCAACUUUGUGAGCGAAGGAUUUCAUCACACUUCAGAGAAGCGUACUCGCAUGUUAUCUGACCUUACUGCCAUUAACGUGCUUGCAAUAGGAAAAUGUACCUUUGCCCAGGUAUUUCACCAUGCUACCUGCAAAUCAGAUGAAGAACAGCUUGAGCUGGUUGAGCCAUUUAAUUGCUCCAUUGAAAACAACUGAGGAAGAAGCAGACCAAUGGAAAAAGAGGGUGUUGGUCUUGUUAACCCACAGGUGAGGUAACUUUCUGCUUUUUGGCGAGGUUAUAAAAGGAGGAAAAGAAGAAGAAGGUGUUUUUCUUAGGAGCAAGCAUGUAGGAGUAAUUUGGGACAAAAAAAGAACUUAGGCAAAUUUCUGGGGUGAAGCCUUUCUAGAGGUCUGUGGAUGUUUGUUUUGCUCUUUAUCAGGUGGGGACAGAUGCCAGCUCGCCCAGCUCCCACCUGCUGCCGAAAGUCCCGUCUCUCCAUUUGCAGUAGCCUGCUUAGCAAAAACCCGGGCUCCUUCGUUGGGUGUACGUCUGGACUCGAGACCCCCAGCUGAGCUGGCUCUCCUGCUUGGAGUGGAAGGCAAGUGCCUCUUUAAUGCUGAGCUCAUAGGGCUGGGACUGCCUUAACGUGAAACAGCGCUCUCCUGCCUGGCUCAAGUGGGUUACAAAACCAAAUGUGCUCGGUCGCUGUGUGCCUCCAGCCCAGGACAGUGGGAGGCCUCACGACCCAAGUAUUUAUCUGCAGGCAGUAAAAGAGGCCGCCUGAGGAGGUGACGGGCAGGAGGGAAUGAAUUGUCCCCUCUCUCCACUGGGUGUGAGCUACCCUGCCACUACAAGGACACACCAAGGGCCUCCCGCAUCUCAAGGGCCGAGCGCAGGAUUUGCUUGCUUCACCUUCCCUCUCCCACCUACCGCGGUGGCUGCGUCUCGGGCACUUGG